UUGGAGGGCAAGUCUGGUGCCAGCAGCCGCGGUAAUUCCAGCUCCAAUAGCGUAUAUUAAAGUUGUUGCAGUUAAAAAGCUCGUAGUUGAAUUUCGGGGUCAGUAGGUCGGUCGUGCCAACGGUAUGAACUGGCCUCACUGAUUCCUCCCUCUUGUAGAACCGUGAUGCCAUUAACUUGGUGUUGCGGGGAAACAGGACUGUUACUUUGAAAAAUUAGAGUGUUUAAAGCAGGCUAACGCUUGAAUACAUUAGCAUGGAAUAAUGAAAUAGGACGUCGAUCUUAUUUUGUUGGUUUCUAGGGUUGACGUAAUGAUUAAUAGGGAUAGUUGGGGGCAUUAGUAUUCAAUUGUCAGAGGUGAAAUUCUUGGAUUUAUUGAAGACUAACUACUGCGAAAGCAUUUGCCAAGGAUGUUUUCAUUAAUCAAGAACGAAAGUUAGGGGAUCGAAGACGAUCAGAUACCGUCGUAGUCUUAACCAUAAACUAUGCCGACUAGGGAUCGGAUGAUGUUAAUUUUUUAAUGUACUCAUUCGGCGCCUUACGGGAAAC
rnacentral:rRNA from 1 species